rnacentral:rRNA from 1 species
AGGACGUCUACAUUAGAUACCCGGGUAGUCCCAGCCGUAAACUAUGCGCGUUAGGUGUAUCGGUGACCACGAGUUGCCGAGGUGCCGAAGGGAAACCGUGAAACGUGCCGCCUGGGAAGUACGGUCGCAAGGCUGAAACUUAAAGGAAUUGGCGGGGGAGCACCACAACGGGUGAAGCCUGCGGUUUAAUUGGACUCAACGUCGGGAAGCUCACCGGAUAAGACAGCGGAAUGAUUGCCGGGCUGAAGACUCUGCAUGACUAGCUG